CAGAGGUGGCAAGCGUUGUUCGGAAUUACUGGGCGUAAAGGGCGCGUAGGCGGCCUUGUGAGUCAGACGUGAAAUCCCCAGGCUUAACUUGGGAACUGCGUCUGAUACUGCAAGGCUCGAGUGCGGGAGAGGGAUGUGGAAUUCCAGGUGUAGCGGUGAAAUGCGUAGAUAUCUGGAGGAACACCGGUGGCGAAGGCGGCAUCCUGGACCGACACUGACGCUGAGGCGCGAAAGCUAGGGGAGCAAACGGGAUUAGAUACCCCGGUAGUCCUAGCCCUAAACGAUGAGUGCUUGGUGUGGCGGGUAUCGAUCCCUGCCGUGCCGAAGCUAACGCAUUAAGCACUCCGCCUGGGGAGUACGGUCGCAAGGCUG
rnacentral:rRNA from 1 species